rnacentral:lncRNA from 1 species
CCCCACUGCACUAAAAAGCCGUAAUUACACAGAGAUAAUGUGAGCUUGGCAGCAUCUCCUAUGGCAGUCUAUGGCUUUGAGUGAAGUUUGAUGUCCAGGUUGCUGGUCACUGCAGGCUGAGCCAACACACAGUUCAACAGAGCAGAGUAUUUGGCAGACAAGUCAUCUUUAGCACCAUAGAAGCCCCAGGGAGAAUGGUUCACAGAAGUAACUAUAUAAAUUUUCAGUAAAAUGCCAGAUCGUCAGAUUUGUUAAGAACUUCAUGGUCAACCCUUCUUCCUGAUGGAGUAAAGCCUUGAUAAAGAAAGAAAAAAACAAGCAUGCUCCCCAUCUCUUCCUCGUUACAAGGAAGCAGUCUUUAAACUGAGACCUUUGGAACUAGCAUUAAGCAGUAAACCAAAGCCAAAGAUCAUUCAGGAUGUUUGUAAUAAGGACAAGCAAGAGAGGAAGAGUAUACUCUACUUUGGCAAAGUUCUUACUGUGAGCACCCUCAUGAGGAGAUACUAAAAAAUAAAUAACUCCAAAGGGGAAAAAAAUAAAAAAUA